rnacentral:tRNA from 1 species
GGGCUCAUAGUCUAGCUGGUCAUGACGUCGCCUUGACAUGGCGGAGGUCGCCGGUUCGAACCCGGCUGAGCCCA